UGAGCUCCCCCUGUACCCCCCAGACCCGCCACUGUUCCUACCUGAGCCAGGAGCCCCCCGAGGAGGGGUCGGGGCAGCGCUGCCGUGAGCUGGAGCGGCAGGUGGCGGCGCUGCGGCAGGUGAGGGCGCACCUGGCCGCCGAGAACCGCGCGCUGCGGGCGCGGCUGGAGGGCGGCGCCGCCGAGAAGCUGCGGCGGCUGCAGGCGCAGGUGGAGGAGCUGCGGGAGGAGAAGGCCAGGCUGGAGAGCGGCAGGGAGGAGCUGCAGGCGCGCUGCGAGCGGCUGGAGCUGGAGGCGCGGGGGCUGCGCGACGAGACGGAGCUGCUCAGGCUGGAGGAGGCAGCCGAGCCUCGGACAGCGCAGGGCGAGGUGAGUG
rnacentral:lncRNA from 1 species